rnacentral:rRNA from 1 species
CCUACGUGAGGCAGCAGUGAGGAAUAUUGGUCAAUGGGCACGAGCCUGAACCAGCCAAGUAGCGUGAAGGAUGACUGCCCUACGGGUUGUAAACUUCUUUUAUAAAGGAAUAAAGUGAGGCACGUGUGCCUUUUUGUAUGUACUUUAUGAAUAAGGAUCGGCUAACUCCGUGCCAGCAGCCGCGGUAAUACGGAGGAUCCGAGCGUUAUCCGGAUUUAUUGGGUUUAAAGGGAGCGUAGAUGGGUUGUUAAGUCAGUUGUGAAAGUUUGCGGCUCAACCGUAAAAUUGCAAUUGAUACUGGCAGUCUUGAGUACAGUUGAGGUAGGCGGAAUUCGUGGUGUAGCGGUGAAAUGCUUAGAUAUCACGAAGAACUCCGAUUGCGAAGGCAGCUUACUAAACUGCCACUGACAUUGAUGCUCGAAAGUGUGGGUAUCAAACAGGAUUAGAUAACCCUGUAGUC